rnacentral:rRNA from 1 species
AUGCAACGCGAAUAUGCAACUGCUGCUUCUGGUAUUUAUUCUGUCAGUCAGGAAGUCGCCGGCGCCGGCGCCAACCGCUGGCAUCAUCGAGCGUGUUUAAAGAAAUUGAUAACCGCAAGAAACUGGGAGUUGAUAAAGCCAUUUUUUUCUUCUGUUAAUUGGAAGCAGCUGGAAUCAGUGGCGGGUAGCAUCGGCAUCGAGGCCAAGAAGAGGCCAAAAUUCUCUGAAGUUUUGGACGGGAAACGCAAGGAAGGCGAGUGUCGUGUCGCGUGCAUAUGCAUAAAACAUUCGUCGCAUCAAAGCGCUGUAGACAGCUUUAAUAUUAUUAUUAUUCUUUGGAGCAGAAAAUAA